UACGUAGGAGGCGAGCGUUGUCCGGAGUUACUGGGCGUAAAGGGUGCGCAGGCGGCGGUUCGCGUGGCGAGAUGAAAUCUCCUGCUUACCUGGGAGGGUGGUCGCCAGACGGGAUCGCUUGAGGGUCGGAGAGGGGCGUGGAAUUCCGGGUGGAGCGGUGAAAUGCGUAGAUAUCGGGAGGAACACCAGUGGCGAAGGCGACUACCUGGCCUGUUCUUGACGCUGAGGCGCGAAAGCUAGGGGAGCAAACGGG
rnacentral:rRNA from 1 species